GCCACACUUCUACAAUUGAACAA
rnacentral:snRNA from 1 species